rnacentral:rRNA from 1 species
CUACAGGCUUAACACAUGCAAGUCGAGGGGCAGCAUGGUCUUAGCUUGCUAAGGCUGAUGGCGACCGGCGCACGGGUGAGUAACACGUAUCCAACCUGCCGUCUACUCUUGGCCAGCCUUCUGAAAGGAAGAUUAAUCCAGGAUGGUAUCAUGAGUUCACAUGUCCGCAUGAUUAAAGGUAUUUUCCGGUAGACGAUGGGGAUGCGUUCCAUUAGAUAGUAGGCGGGGUAACGGCCCACCUAGUCAACGAUGGAUAGGGGUUCUGAGAGGAAGGUCCCCCACAUUGGAACUGAGACACGGUCCAAACUCCUACGGGAGGCAGCAGUGAGGAAUAUUGGUCAAUGGGCGAUGGCCUGAACCAGCCAAGUAGCGUGAAGGAUGACUGCCCUAUGGGUUGUAAACUUCUUUUAUAAAGGAAUAAAGUCGGGUAUGCAUACCCGUUUGCAUGUACUUUAUGAAUAAGGAUCGGCUAACUCCGUGCCAGCAGCCGCGGUAAUACGGAGGAUCCGAGCGUUAUCCGGAUUUAUUGGGUUUAAAGGGAGCGUAGAUGGAUGUUUAAGUCAGUUGUGAAAGUUUGCGGCUCAACCGUAAAAUUGCAGUUGAUACUGGAUGUCUUGAGUGCAGUUGAGGCAGGCGGAAUUCGUGGUGUAGCGGUGAAAUGCUUAGAUAUCACGAAGAACUCCGAUUGCG